rnacentral:rRNA from 1 species
UACAGAGGGUGCGAGCGUUAAUCGGAAUUACUGGGCGUAAAGCGCGCGUAGGCGGCUUUCUAAGUCGGGGGUGAAAUCCUGGAGCUCAACUCCAGAACUGCCUUCGAUACUGGAAAGCUCGAGUCCGGGAGAGGUGAGUGGAACUGCGAGUGUAGAGGUGAAAUUCGUAGAUAUUCGCAAGAACACCGGUGGCGAAGGCGGUUCUCUGGGCCUGUGCUGACGCUGAGGAGCGAAAGCGUGGGGAGCGAACAGG